GCGGGAGGGAUAAGCGCUGAAAGCAUCUAAGCGCGAAGCCCGCCUCAAGAUGAGAUUUCCCAAUUUAGUAAGACCCCUGGAAGAACACCAGGUUGAUAGGCUCGGGGUGGAAGCGCGGCAACGUGUGCAGCUGACGAGUACUAAUCGGUCGAGGGCUUAUCCUAA
rnacentral:rRNA from 1 species